UAGAGAAUAGUGUAAAUGGAAAUGCGAAGGGUUUUGAUCUCUUAGAUAUAGGUUCAAGUCCUAUUUUUCUAA
rnacentral:tRNA from 1 species